GCGCGCAGCGGCUCGGGGCUGCGCGGGGAGCGGCGGGGCGGGGACAGCGCUCCCGCGGGGCUGCAGCGGCACCGGACGGGCCGAGGCGGAUCCGCAGCCGCCGCCGCCAGCAGCGCCCUCCGCCCCGCGCUGGCGGGCGGCAGCGCGGCGGUGGCCGGAGCCUGGCGCGGCCGCGGGCGGGCUGCGCCUGCCGCUUCCUCGCCGACACGCGCGACUCGCUGGGAAACGCGUGGGGCUGGGCAGAGCUUUAGCUCUGCCUCUGGUGCUGCAGCCUGCUCCUCGCAGCUCCGGUGCCUGGAAGCUUUUAAGUCACGUCUCUAAGACCACCAAAACUGUAGUCGUGGUAACACAGAGUUGUCGUGGCUUCUAAGGAUCUGAAGAAAUGUCCUCCUUUCGCUGGUGAUCGUGAAUGACUCUAAAGGAAGCUCUUUGAAACCCAUGUUUUCCAUCAGCAUCAGACCAGCCAUGAGUAUUAGUCUCACCAAAAUGUUCACAAUCUGUCACUGUGCAAUGGAGACAUGUUGAGACUCCAGUUUGGUCCAUCAGUAUCGAGAGGAUUUCUGACUGAAUCAUGGACAGGCAGCUUUGUCAUCAAUGCAAAGUGUGUGGGUGUGGAGUUUCCUGUUCAGUGCCAAUUAUCAGUGAAAAAAGUGGAGGAAGUGGGG